rnacentral:rRNA from 1 species
UACGAAGGGGGCUAGCGUUGUUCGGAAUUACUGGGCGUAAAGCGCGUGUAGGCGGCUUUGCAAGUCGGGUGUGAAAGCCCUCGGCUCAACCGAGGAAGUGCGCCCGAAACUGCAGAGCUUGAGUGCCGGAGAGGAUGGCGGAAUUCCCCAAGUAGAGGUGAAAUUCGUAGAUAUGGGGAGGAACACCGGUGGCGAAGGCGGCCAUCUGGACGGUCACUGACGCUGAGACGCGAAAGCGUGGGGAGCAAACAGG